rnacentral:tRNA from 1 species
ACCACUGAGCGAUUGAACAACAACAUUGAAUCCACGGAUUAUAUGCCCUCUCCUGAUUAUGUUGAGAAAGUGUACUUCAGGAUUUAUAAAUUACCAUUGAACAUUAGGCAUAUGAACUUUGAAUUCCAUUUUCCAUUUUGAUGUGAGCAUCCUACAGUUCUGUUACGAUUUAAAUGUAAGCAGAUCACUUCUGAAAUCAUUUAUGCCUGCAUGAGGGAUUUUUUUAAAAAAGAUUUAUUGUUAACUUUCUUGUUGCUGAUUUAUUAAAGAUUAUCUUGAGCAAAUAAAUUCCAUUUAUGGAUGGUUGAGUUUUCUCACUGCCAUAAGUCCAUCCUCAGAAGGACUUCCCUGGUGGUCCAGUGGUUCAGACUCUAAACUUCCAAUUCAGAAGGCACAGAUUCAAUCUCUGGUUGGGGAACUAAGAUCCCACAUACUGGCAGUGCAGCAGAAAAAAAGAAAAUUCUCAGAAAUGAGCAGUUUUCCAGUUUGUUUCCUGUAUUAUUUUGAGGUCAUUAUUGAAAGGAAGGAAUUAUUUGUUUUCCAUACUGCUAGUGUGCACAAAUAUUAUUUAAACAUGGAGAAAUCUUUCACACCUUAAAGAGAAAUUUCUCCUUUGACACAGCUUUCCCAUUCCAUUCUUUUUCUCAUAUUCAAAUUUCUUGAAAGAGUGACCACACCCUAUUUCUUCACCUCCCUCUUCAACCUCUGGCACUCGAGUCUCAGUCUCAUCACUCCACUGAGGCUUUCACUAUUAAGGAUACUAGUGUUAAAUGCAGUGGGCUCUUCUCAUUCUUCAUCAUAUUUGACAGCUCAACUCAAAAAGACCGUUUUUUCUAGUAACACAGUCUUGACUUUCAUAAAUGCACGCUUUCCUGGUUUUUUUCUUACCUCUCGUAAGUUCAGUCUACUUUGUAGAGUCACUUUCCUCUACCUGUUUUUCUGGGCCAGUUUUCUACUCUUAUUUGCUCUUAAGACUCCACAUAUCAGCUCUAAAUCUUUACUUCGUUAACUUCGGAGCUCUAAACUCCUGUCAUCUGCUAACUAGAUGUCUCUACUUGCUUGUCACACCUACACUUCUAGCUUGUUCUUUUCCUUCUGACUCUGCCCUUCCUUUAUGUUUGCUAGUUCUCCAGGUGCCGCCAGCGUCCUGUUUAAGCCAGGCAACCAUCCAUGUCUUACCAUGUCUACUUCUUGGACGUCUCUUAAAUGAAUCCUUUAUUCUUCUCUGCUGCUACUACCCUAAAUCUAACCAUCACUGGUCUGGUUCACUGCAGUUAACUUUUUCUCUGUAUUUUUGCCACAUUACAAUGAACCCAGCCUCUGUACUAUAUACAUAGAUGAUUUUUAAAAAUCAGUUAUGAUCUUGUUCUUUUCCUGUUUUAAAUCCCUUUAAGGCCAGAGCCUAAAUUUUUUCUCUUGUUGCUCAUGAUCUGGCCUUGCCUCCAUCUUUAAUCUCAAAUCUUACCCCCCCUGCCCUUCAAUGGAGAGAACAUGUUCCUCUUUUGAUNNNNNNNAUUUGUAGCAUUAGCAUUACAGGAUGUAGUAGACAUGAAUGUUUUUGUUUUAAAAUACUGCUUAUAAAAAUAAUUGUUCUUCAUUGUUAUCUGUUACUUAUUAACAUAUAAGUAGACCAAUUUAAGCAUGUAGUAUAUGUUAAGGUGUUUGUAAAUUGUAAAUAUUAAUGUAAAAUAUUAUUUCUCUGUACUUUCUACUCCCUUUCAUCACUCCUUUUGCUUCCAUCUGCAUGAUGAUACAAGAUAUUGUACAUGUGGUAACAAUUCUAUAGGAAUGCUGGGGGUAGAAUAGACAUGAUUUUUCAAUUUAGAGUGUCCUUUGAAUAGGAAAUUAGGAAACGGUCCAUAAAAUAAACUAUUAUGAUAGAAAUGAUGUGCUCAGAAAAAAAGGUUGCUUCGAUUCUGGUCUGGAUCAUCUGCAGAGGUCUCUUUCAGUUCUUUACUCCUGUGUCUUUAGCUUUCAUUUUAAGAAAGCAUAUGGUGACUGUGGAAUUAUUUUUUACUUAUAUUUAUGAAUAAACUCAGUGAAUAUGCUAUUUUAACAGUACUUAUGGCAUUCAUACAUUUUUCAUACAUCCCUUCUGGCUGUAGGAGGAAAGUUAAUGCCAAAUGCAACUAUUAGCUCUCAGGAAGAUCAUCAUCUUACGAUUGGAAACAUACUAAUAUGAAAUGUGAGUGCUCUAGCUAAGUCAUGAAUCAUAUUCAUAGUCAUUGAACAUAGUUACCAUGUAUUAGGGUUAUUUCUUAAAGAUGAAUAAACUCCCUAAGUUUAUCUGUAAAUUGGAAAUGAUCCCCAAAAAAAUACUGACAGGAUUUUUUUUUGGCUUGACAAACCAAUGUUAAAUUAAUAUAGAAACAUGGAUACAAUAAUAGAAACAUUCUGGAAAAGAAAAUUAAUGAGACUUGAGAACAGCCCUAAAAGAUAUCAUUAAGCCACAUUAAUUAAAACUGUGNNNNNNNNNNNNNNNNNNNNNNNNNNNNNNNNNNNNNNNNNNNNNNNNNNNNNNNNNNNNNNNNNNNNNNNNNNNNNNNNNNNNNNNNNNNNNNNNNNNUCAUUAAGCCACAUUAAUUAAAACUGUGAUGAAGGCAAAUGCAUAGAUCUACAGAUCAAUGAAAUAAAAUAUGAAGCCUGGAAAGGGACCCCCAAAACACAUAGGCCUUGAUAAAAUUGGCAUUUCAAAUCAGUGAUGAAAUUUAUUCAGUAAAUGGUGUUGGGAUAACCUGGGAGCCAUCUGGAAAGAAAAGUUAAAUCUAUAAUUUAUACUUCCACAAGACUGAAUUAUAUGUGGAUCCAAUUUUACUUUAAAAAGCAAAGUCACAAAAGAACUAAAUAGGGAAGAAACCUUUUAUAAUUUAGAAUGAAGAAGGUUUUUCUAACUUUGACAUAAAACUGUGAAGCAAAAAAAAGAAUAUUUAUAAAUUAGACUUAAAAAAAGUAAGUUUCUGCAUAUCAGAAACUAACACAAGCAAAGUCAAAGACAAGUUGAAAAACAUUUAGAGCUCAUCAAAGAUUCUGGGCAAAUUUCCUUCAUGUGUAAAAAAAUUUUACAAAUCAAUAAGAAAAAGACCAACAAUUCAUUAAAUCCAAAGGUGCUGAGUUGCAUGUAUAGUAUUGUACAUCAACUAUACCUCAAUAAAAAAUUAAAGAUAC